GUACACUCCUACGGGAGGCAGCAGUGGGGAAUUUUGGACAAUGGGCGAAAGCCUGAUCCAGCAAUGCCGCGUGAGUGAAGAAGGCCUUCGGGUUGUAAAGCUCUUUUGUCAGGGAAGAAACGGUGAAAGCUAAUAUCUUUUGCUAAUGACGGUACCUGAAGAAUAAGCACCGGCUAACUACGUGCCAGCAGCCGCGGUAAUACGUAGGGUGCAAGCGUUAAUCGGAAUUACUGGGCGUAAAGCGUGCGCAGGCGGUUUUGUAAGUCUGAUGUGAAAUCCCCGGGCUCAACCUGGGAAUUGCAUUGGAGACUGCAAGGCUAGAAUCUGGCAGAGGGGGGUAGAAUUCCACGUGUAGCAGUGAAAUGCGUAGAUAUGUGGAGGAACACCGAUGGCGAAGGCAGCCCCCUGGGUCAAGAUUGACGCUCAUGCACGAAAGCGUGGGGAGCAAACAGGAUUAGAAACCCCGGUGGUCCCAUGA
rnacentral:rRNA from 1 species